rnacentral:rRNA from 2 species
ACUGGCAGGCUAGAGUCUUGUAGAGGGGGGUAGAAUUCCAGGUGUAGCGGUGAAAUGCGUAGAGAUCUGGAGGAAUACCGGUGGCGAAGGCGGCCCCCUGGACAAAGACUGACGCUCAGGUGCGAAAGCGUGGGGAGCAAACAGGAUUAGAUACCCUGGUAGUCCACGCCGUAAACGAUGUCGAUUUGGAGGUUGUGCCCUUGAGGCGUGGCUUCCGGAGCUAACGCGUUAAAUCGACCGCCUGGGGAGUACGGCCGCAAGGUUAAAACUCAAAUGAAUUGACGGGGGCCCGCACAAGCGGUGGAGCAUGUGGUUUAAUUCGAUGCAACGCGAAGAACCUUACCUGGUCUUGACAUCCACAGAACUUUCCAGA